UUCUGCAGUCUGGGGGGAAAAGCAGCGCCGCCCUGCAUGUGGCUAGAUCUGUGUUUCACCGGGCCGAGCGCUGCGUGGCUCCUAUAGUGCGUUCAGGUGAGGCCGAUCCCGAUGUCAGCAAAUAUCUCAACAGGUUGAGUGAUUACCUGUUCACACUGGCCAGAUACACAGCUAUGAAAGAAGGAAACAUGGAGAGGAUCUACAGGAGACCUGAAUGAACUUCCACAAAAUCAGAAAUAAACUUUCUUUUAACAAAAUUAUUCGGUUCCUCCAGAUGUUUAUCUAAAUCGCAUUUAUCUCUGUGCUCUGUGCUGAAAACUUCUCUCUCCCUCCUGACACUAACACUAGGUGGCGCUUUAACACUGGGUUUGAAUCACACUGAAUUAUGAGCAUGUUUACUGUAUGAACAUUUCCUGCUGAAUUCUGAUCUCUGCCACUAAAACACGACAUUGUUAUUAAGACUAAA